rnacentral:lncRNA from 1 species
ACAGUGGACGACUAUAAAUAUUUAGGUGUAACUUUUAACUGUAAAGGUAACUUUAAUUUACAUGCAGAGACUUUGGCUAAAGGUGCAGGAAGAGCCUUAGGUAAAAUUAUCUCGAAAAUCCAUAGUUUAAAGGAUUUUGGUUUUCAGUCUUAUGAAAAACUUUUUAAUUCGUGUGUUACUCCAAUCCUCGACUACGCAUCUGGAAUAUGGGGAAAUAGGAAGUUCCAAUCAAUAGACAACGUACAGAACAGAGCAAUUCGAUAUUACUUAGGCGUUCACAGAUUUGCACCAAUUCUAGCACUGUACGGGGAUACUGGAUGGAUACCAAGUCAGUUUCGGCAUUGGGUAAACAUUAUUCGCUACUGGAAUAGGCUAUUAUCGUUUGAAGACGACCGAUUAACGAAAGUGGUGUUCAAUAUGGAUUAUGAUCG